CAACUAAACAUGGGCAAAGGAGAUCCUAAGAAGCCGAGAGGCAAAAUGUUCUCAUAUGCAUUCUUUGUGCAAACCUGCCGGGAGGAGCACAAGAAGAAGCACCCAGAUGCUUCUGUCAACUUCUCAGAGUUCUCCAAGAAGUGCUCAGAGAGGUGGAAGACUAUGUCUGCUAAAGAAAAGGGGAAAUUUGAAGAUAUGGCAAAGGCUGACAAGGCUCGUUAUGAAAGAGAAAUGAAAACCUACAUCCCUCCCAAAGGGGAGACCAAAAAGAAGUUCAAGGACCCCAAUGCACCCAAGAGGCCUCCUUCGGCCUUCUUCUUGUUCUGUUCUGAGUACCGCCCAAAAAUCAAAGGCGAGCAUCCUGGCUUAUCCAUUGGUGAUGUUGCAAAGAAGCUAGGAGAGAUGUGGAACAACACUGCAGCGGAUGACAAGCAGCCCUACGAGAAGAAGGCUGCCAAGCUGAAGGAGAAGUAUGAGAAGGAUAUUGCUGCCUACAGAGCUAAAGGAAAACCUGAUGCAGCAAAAAAGGGGGUAGUCAAGGCUGAAAAGAGCAAGAAAAAGAAGGAAGAGGAAGAUGAUGAGGAAGAUGAAGAGGAUGAGGAAGAGGAGGAAGAAGAGGAAGACGAAGAUGAAGAAGAAGAUGAUGAUGAUGAAUAAGUUGGUUCUAGCGCAGUUUUUUUCUUGUCUAUAAAGCAUUUAACCCCCCUGUACACAACUCACUCCUUUUAAAGAAAAAAAUUGAAAUGUAAGGCUGUGUAAGAUUUGUUUUUAAACUGUACAGUGUCUUUUUUUGUAUAGUUAACACACUACCGAAUGUGUCUUUAGAUAGCCCUGUCCUGGUGGUAUUUUCAAUAGCCACUAACCUUGCCUGGUACAGUCUGGGGGUUGUAAAUUGGCAUGGAAAUUUAAAGCAGGUUCUUGUUGGUGCACAGCACAAAUUAGUUAUAUAUGGGGACAGUAGUUUGGUUUUUGUUUUUCUUUUCUUUUGGUUUUAUUUUUGGGUUUUUUUUUUCCAUCUUCAGUUGUCUCUGAUGCAGCUUAUACGAAGAUAAUUGUUGUUCUGUUAACUGAAUACCACUCUGUAAUUGCAAAAAAAAAAAUUGCAGCUGUUUUGUUGACAUUCUGAAUGCUUCUAAGUAAAUACAAUUUUUUUUAUUAGUAUUGUUGUCCUUUUCAUAGGUCUGAAAGUUUUCUUCUCGAGGGGAAGCUAGUCUUUUGCUUUUGCCCAUUUUGGGUCACAUGGAUUAUUACAGUGUGUAUCUUUUCAUGUAGUUAGCUGGAAAAAAGCUUUUGUCCACACACCCUGCAUAUUAUGGUAGGGGUAACAUUUUCAUCCAUAGUUAAAGAAUCUCCAAAAACGUGAUUAGUUGAAUAAGAGAUUAUAUAACCUACUUGGCAAAGCAAGGAGUGAUCAAUUCUGUCACACCAUGGGAUUAUUAGAAUCAAGCAAUCUGAAAGUCUGUCCUUGAAGGACUAAUAGAAAAGUAUGUUCUAAUCCUUACAUGAGGACUCUCCUUUAACUGCCAUUACUAUGUAAUGACAGUUAUAUUUUGCAGUUUUCCCCUACUAAAGACCUGAGAAUGUAUCCCCAAAAGCGUGAACUUAAAAUACAAGACUGCCAUACUAUUCAUUGACCUUAGUCCCAGCGAAGGCUAUCAUGAGAACGCUGGCUAUAAUGCAUUUGCCCUACUAUCUAAAUACGGAUUGCUCAGGAAACUUGACUGUUUAAAGGUAUAUUUAAUUGAGCCAGCUUUUAAAGUUAUGCCACAUUUAAAAUGAAGGGUAUAUUUUCCUAUAUUGUGGUUUGUCCCUUUAUAAAUCAGAUACAAGGAAAGAGGAUAAACUUUGCAUAUUAGUACCAGUUGUCCAAUCCAUUUGCUUUUUCUUUAUAAAACCCAAACUCAUUCAUUAAUCAUGUUUAAUCUGCUUAGUUUAGGGAACAAUUUGGCAAUUUUGUGGGGUUUUUUUGAGAUUAUCGUUCUCUUAAAGUGCCAGUGUUUUAAAAUAGCGUUCUUGUAAUUUUACACGCUUUUGUGAUGGACUGCUGUUAUAUAAUUUUGACUUGGGUUCUUUACAUUUGCGUUUGUUAAUGUAAUUUGAGGAGGAAUACUGAACAUGAGUCCUGGAUGAUACUAAUAAACUAAUAAUUGCAGA